UACGUAGGAGGCGAGCGUUGUCCGGAAUUACUGGGCGUAAAGCGUGCGUAGACGGUAGCGUAAGUCAGAUGUGAAAGCCCCGGGCUCAACCUGGGAAUUGCAUUUGAGACUGCUCUGCUCGGGUGCGGAAGAGGGAAGCGGAAUUUCCGGUGUAGCGGUGAAAUGCGUAGAUAUCGGAAGGAACACCAGUGGCGAAAGCGGCUUCCUGGUCCGACACCGACGUUCAGGCACGAAAGCGUGGGGAGCAAACAGG
rnacentral:rRNA from 1 species